AGGGCGCGCAGGCGGUCUUGCCGGUCAGGUGUGAAAGCCCGGGGCUCAACCCNGGAAGAGCAUUUGAAACAGCAAGACUUGAGUACAGGAGAGGAAAGCGGAAUUCCUGGUGUAGAGGUGAAAUUCGUAGAUAUCAGGAGGAACACUCAUGGCGAAGGCAGCUUUCUGGACUGAUACUGACGCUGAGGCGCGAAGGUGUGGGUAGCGAACAGGAUUAGAUACCCUGGUAGUCCACACAGUAAACGAUGUUCACUAGGUGUAGCGGAUGUUAAAAUCUGCUGUGCCGCAGCCAACGCAUUAAGUGAACCGCCUGGGGAGUACGGUCGCAAGAUUAAAACUCAAAGGAAUUGACGGGGGCCCGCACAAGCGGUGGAGCAUGUGGUUUAAUUCGACGCAACGCGAAGAACCUUACCUGGAUUUGACAUCCUGUGAAUCUCCGAGAGAUCGGGGAGUGCCUUCGGGAGCACAGAGACAGGUGCUGCAUGGCUGUCGUCAGCUCGAGUCGUGAGAUGUUUGGUUAAGUCCAGCAACGAGCGCAACCCUUAUCUUCAGUUGCCAGCAUUUCGGAUGGGAACUCUGGAGAGACUGCCCCGGUAAACGGGGAGGAAGGUGGGGAUGACGUCAAGUCCUCAUGGCCCUUAUGUCCAGGGCUACACACGUGCUACAAUGGCAGGUACAGAGGGCAGCUAUCCCGCGAGGGAAUGCGAAUCUCGAAAGCCGAUCUCAGUUCGGAUUGGAGUCUGCAACUCGACUCCAUGAAGCUGGAAUCGCUAGUAAU
rnacentral:rRNA from 1 species